rnacentral:rRNA from 1 species
UGGGGAAUUUUGGACAAUGGGCGCAAGCCUGAUCCAGCCAUGCCGCGUGAGUGAAGAAGGCCUUCGGGUUGUAAAGCUCUUUCGGCCGGAACGAAAUCGUCCGGGCUAAUACCCCAGACGGAUGACGAUACCGGAAGAAGAAGCACCGGCUAACUACGUGCCAGCAGCCGCGGUAAUACGUAGGGUGCAGGCGUUAAUCGGAAUUACUAGGCAUAAAGCGUGCGCAGGCGGCUUCUCAAGUCAGAUGUGAAAUCCCCGGGCUUAACCUGGGAACUGCGUUUGAAACUGGGAGGCUAGAGUGCGGCAGAGGGGGGUGGAAUUCCACGUGUAGCAGUGAAAUGCGUAGAUAUGUGGAGAAACACCGAUGGCGAAGGCAACCCCCUGGGCCAGCACUGACGCUCAUGCACGAAAGCGUGGGGAGCAAACAGG